AUUGAACGCUGGCGGCAGGCCUAACACAUGCAAGUAGAACGGAGCGGCGGAAGGGUGAGUAAUGCCUAGGAAUUUGCCUGGUAGUGGGGGAUAACGUCCGGAAACGGGCGCUAAUACCGAAUACUCGAAGAUGAGCCUAGGGCGGAUUAGCUAGUUGGUGGGGUAAAGGCCUACCAAGGGGACGAUCCGUAAGUGGUCUGAGAGGAUGAUCAGUCACACUGUACCUGAGACACGGGCCAUACUCCGUCGGGAGGCAGCAGGGGGGAAUAUUGGACACUGGGCGAAAUCCUUAUCCUGCCAUGCCGCGUGUUGUAAGAAGGUCUUCGGAUUGUAAAGCACUUUUAGUUGGGAGGCGUUACCAACAGAGUAAGCACCGGCUAACUUCGUGCCAGCAGCCGCGGUAAUAC
rnacentral:rRNA from 1 species